GACGAACGCUGGCGGCGUGCUUAACACAUGCAAGUCGAACGGAAAGGCCCUGCUUUUGUGGGGUGCUCGAGUGGCGAACGGGUGAGUAACACGUGAGUAACCUGCCCUUGACUUUGGGAUAACUUCAGGAAACUGGGGCUAAUACCGGAUAGGAGCUCCUGCUGCAUGGUGGGUGUUGGAAAGUUUCGGCGGUUGGGGAUGGACUCGCGGCUUAUCAGCUUGUUGGUGGGGUAGUGGCUUACCAAGGCUUUGACGGGUAGCCGGCCUGAGAGGGUGACCGGCCACAUUGGGACUGAGAUACGGCCCAGACUCCUACGGGAGGCAGCAGUGGGGAAUAUUGCACAAUGGGCGGAAGCCUGAUGCAGCAACGCCGCGUGCGGGAUGACGGCCUUCGGGUUGUAAACCGCUUUCGCCUGUGACGAAGUGUGAGUGACGGUAAUGGGUAAAGAAGCACCGGCUAACUACGUG
rnacentral:rRNA from 1 species